rnacentral:rRNA from 1 species
UACGUAGGGAGCAAGCGUUGUCCGAAAUCAUUGGGCGUAAAGCGCGCGUAGGUGGCCUCAUAAGUCCGCUGUGAAAGUCAAAGGCUCAACCUUUGAAAGCCGAUGGAUACUGCGGAGCUAGAGUACGGAAGAGGCGAGUGGAAUUCCUGGUGUAGCGGUGGAAUGCGCAGAUAUCAGGAGGAACACCAAUAGCGAAGGCAGCUCGCUGGGACGUUACUGACACUGAGGCGCGAAAGCGUGGGGAGCGAACAGG